CGUCUUCCACUCAUUUUCAACGAAUCGGUCUUCGUAAAAUGGAGCAAGGCGACGAUCAACGGUGGCCUCAAUACGGGAAUUGGAUCCCUACAGAACAUGAUAGUAGACAGUUUUAUAUACAAGUUAAGCGAAUGAACGAAAAAAAC
rnacentral:tRNA from 1 species